AUAGUUUUACCUCUGAUAUAGUAAAUAUGCCCAGGGACUAAAGUGAAAUUCUUUUAAUAUGAGUUUGAGUAAUGCUUCUAUACUUUUUUUUUUUUUUUUCGUUACCGUUCAUUCACGCGUAUUCAACAACUCAGAUUUAAUUUUUUUAAAAUUGUAACCUGCAAUAGCAGGUCACUUUGAGAGAGGUAUCGGUUACUAGCUACCUCAAAAAAGGGUAGUUUUGUCUUUUAAUACAUGAGCAAUUUAGUCAUUUUAUCUCUACUAUAUUUUCAAAAUUUUUAUUUUCUCUUUGUUUUUUUUUUCUCUCUCUAUCUUUCCUUUCAUAAUUUGACAUUUCAUAUAAGAAAAUUUUCAAAUUAUUUGACAAUAUGAUCUUUUAAUUUUUCUUUUCUCUUU
rnacentral:lncRNA from 1 species